AUGAUUCAAGAACGCCCUGACUUCAAGACACUCGAUCCGUCUGACAUACUUGAAAGGCUCAACACACAUGAGUUUCAGCUUUCUGAGAAAAGAGACAUCUACGGUCCCAACUAUGGGCGAACUCGUGCUUUGAAGGCAAAAGCUGUUUCCUCAUCAGAAGAAGAAUCUAAGUGCAGUUCGGAUGAUCCUGAAGACAUUGGAAAGGAGCAUGCUAUGCUUGUGAAGAAGUUUCAGAAAUUCACCAAGAAGAAAGGCUUCAGAAAGUCCUCACGAUCCAGCUCAAGGAAUGAUGAAGCUUUUGCUCAUGACUACAAGAAGAGAACAUGUCACAAGUGCAAGAAACCUGGUCACUACAUCUCUGAGUGUCCGCAGAGGGACAAUGAGAACAACAAGAAGAAGAAGAGCAAGGAAUAUGAUUCUGACGACAAGAAGAAGAAGAAAUACUCAAAGUCUUCUUCCAAGUCUUCCUCAAAGUCUUCAUCGCACAAGAAGAGCUCAUCUGACAAGGCUCGUGCGUUUGUUGGCAAAGAAAUGGAUUCAGAGGAGGAGUCCACUUCUGAGGAGGCGGAGGUGGAGUCUAAGGAGGAGUCCGAUUCUGGCGUUGCAAGUCUGGCUACAACA
rnacentral:rRNA from 1 species